AGAGUUUGAUCCUGGCUCAGGAUGAACGCUGGCGGCGUGCUUAACACAUGCAAGUCGAACGAACCUUCGGGUUAGUGGCGGACGGGUGAGUAACGCGUGGGAAUCUGCCCUCAGGAGGGGGAUAACGGUUGGAAACGACCGCUAAUACCCCAUAUGCCGAGAGGUGAAAUGAAUUUCGCCUGAGGAUGAGCCCGCGUCUGAUUAGCUUGUUGGUGAGGUAAUGGCUCACCAAGGCAUCGAUCAGUAGCUGGUCUGAGAGGAUGAUCAGCCACACUGGGACUGAGACACGGCCCAGACUCCUACGGGAGGCAGCAGUGGGGAAUUUUCCGCAAUGGGCGAAAGCCUGACGGAGCAACGCCGCGUGAGGGACGAAGGCCUCUGGGCUGUAAACCUCUUUUCUCAAGGAAGAAGAUAUGACGGUACUUGAGGAAUAAGCCACGGCUAAUUCCGUGCCAGCAGCCGCGGUAAUACGGGAGUGGCAAGCGUUAUCCGGAAUUAUUGGGCGUAAAGCGUCCGCAGGCGGCCCUUCAAGUCUGCUGUUAAAACGUGGAGCUCAACUCCAUCAUGGCAGUGGAAACUGAUUGGCUUGAGUAUGGUAGGGGCAGAGGGAAUUCCCGGUGUAGCGGUGAAAUGCGUAGAUAUCGGGAAGAACACCAGUGGCGAAGGCGCUCUGCUGGGCCAUUACUGACGCUCAUGGACGAAAGCCAGGGGAGCGAAAGGGAUUAGAUACCCCUGUAGUCCUGGCCGUAAACGAUGAACACUAGGUGUCGGGGGAAUCGACCCCUUCGGUGUCGUAGCUAACGCGUUAAGUGUUCCGCCUGGGGAGUACGCACGCAAGUGUGAAACUCAAAGGAAUUGACGGGGGCCCGCACAAGCGGUGGAGUAUGUGGUUUAAUUCGAUGCAACGCGAAGAACCUUACCAGGGCUUGACAUCCUGCGAACCUUUAAGAAAUUAGAGGGUGCCUUCGGGAACGCAGUGACAGGUGGUGCAUGGCUGUCGUCAGCUCGUGUCGUGAGAUGUUGGGUUAAGUCCCGCAACGAGCGCAACCCACGUUUUUAGUUGCCAGCAUUUAGUUGGGCACUCUAGAAAGACCGCCGGUGAUAAACCGGAGGAAGGUGUGGAUGACGUCAAGUCAUCAUGCCCCUUACGUCCUGGGCUACACACGUACUACAAUGCUACGGACAAAGGGCAGCAAACUCGCGAGAGCUAGCAAAUCCCAUAAACCGUGGCUCAGUUCAGAUCGUAGGCUGCAACUCGCCUACGUGAAGCAGGAAUCGCUAGUAAUCGCAGGUCAGCAUACUGCGGUGAAUACGUUCCCGGGCCUUGUACACACCGCCCGUCACACCAUGGAAGUUGGCCAUGCCCGAAGUCGUUACUUUAACCCUUGUGGAGAAGGACGCCGAAGGUGGGGCUGAUGACUGGGGUGAAGUCGUAACAAGGUAGCCGUACCGGAAGGUGCGGCUG
rnacentral:rRNA from 1 species